rnacentral:misc_RNA from 1 species
GAUGAAGAACGUAGCGAAAUGCGAUAAGUAGUGUGAAUUGCAGAAUUCAGUGAAUCAUCGAAUCUUUGAACGCACAUUGCGCCCCUUGGUAUUCCAUGGGGCAUGCCUGUUCGAGCGUCAUUUGUACCUUCAAGCUUUGCUUGGUGUUGGGUGUUUGUCCUGAGGGACUCGCCUUAAAGUAAUUGGCAGCCAGUGUUUGGUUUUGAAGCGCAGCACAAGUCGCGAUUCAGGCUGGUUACUUCCGCGUCCAGUAAGCACAUUUAACACUUUUGACCUCGGAUCAAGUAGGGAUACCCGCUGAACUUAAGCAUAUCAAUAAGCGGAGGA